rnacentral:rRNA from 1 species
GGCGUGUUCUGCUUGGCUGGGCCUUACUUCUUGGUGAGCCGGCUUGCCCUUUAUUGGGGUGGCCCAACUAAACUCCCACUUUUACCUUCUUUAAUUAGUGUGUUCAAAGCACGCCUAUGCCUGAAUACAUUAAUUUGGAAUAAUAGAAUAGGACCUCGCGUUUUAUAUUUGUUGGUGUUCGGAGACCUCGCAGGUAAUGAUUUAAUAGGGACAGAUGGGGGCAUUGGUAUUAGUACGCUAAGAGGGUGAAAAUUCUUGGAUGGCUCCAAGACCGGACUAGAAGCGAAAACCUUUGCCCAGGAAUGUUUCCUUUAUCCAGGAACAAAAGUUAGGGGGUUGGAAGGCGAUCAGAUACCGCCCUAUUUUUACCCAUAAAUAAUCCCAGCAAGGAUUCCGCGACAUUUCCUCUGAUGAGUCGUUGGGCACCUUCCGGGAAAUCAAAGUUUUUGGGUUCCGGGGGGAGUAUGGUUGCAAAGCUGAAACUUAAAGGAAUUGACGGAAGGGCACCACCAGGAGUGGAGCCUGCGGCUUAAUUUGACUCAACACGGGGAAACUCACCAGGUCCAGACACAAGAAGGAUUGACAGAUUGAUAGCUCUUUCAUGAUUUUGUGGGUGGUGGUGCAUGGCCGUUCUUAGUUGGUGGAGUGAUUUGUCUGGUUAAUUCCGAUAACGAACGAGACCUUAACCUGCUAAAUAGCCAGGCCGGCUUCGGCUGGUCUCUGGCUUCUUAGAGGGACUGUCAG